GAGUUUGAUCAUGGCUCAGAUUGAACGCUGGCGGCAGGCCUAACACAUGCAAGUCGAACGGUAACAGGAAGCAGCUUGCUGCUUCGCUGACGAGUGGCGGACGGGUGAGUAAUGUCUGGGAAGCUGCCUGAUGGAGGGGGAUAACUACUGGAAACGGUAGCUAAUACCGCAUAAUGUCGCAAGACCAAAGAGGGGGACCUUCGGGCCUCUUGCCAUCGGAUGUGCCCAGAUGGGAUUAGCUUGUUGGUGGGGUAACGGCUCACCAAGGCGACGAUCCCUAGCUGGUCUGAGAGGAUGACCAGCCACACUGGAACUGAGACACGGUCCAGACUCCUACGGGAGGCAGCAGUGGGGAAUAUUGCACAAUGGGCGCAAGCCUGAUGCAGCCAUGCCGCGUGUAUGAAGAAGGCCUUCGGGUUGUAAAGUACUUUCAGCGGGGAGGAAGGGAGUAAAGUUAAUACCUUUGCUCAUUGACGUUACCCGCAGAAGAAGCACCGGCUAACUCCGUGCCAGCAGCCGCGGUAAUACGGAGGGUGCAAGCGUCAAUCGGAAUUACUGGGCGUAAAGCGCACGCAGGCGGUUUGUUAAGUCAGAUGUGAAAUCCCCGGGCUCAACCUGGGAACUGCAUCUGAUACUGGCAAGCUUGAGUCUCGUAGAGGGGGGUAGAAUUCCAGGUGUAGCGGUGAAAUGCGUAGAGAUCUGGAGGAAUACCGGUGGCGAAGGCGGCCCCCUGGACGAAGACUGACGCUCAGGUGCGAAAGCGUGGGGAGCAAACAGGAUUAGAUACCCUGGUAGUCCACGCCGUAAACGAUGUCGACUUGGAGGUUGUGCCCUUGAGGCGUGGCUUCCGGAGCUAACGCGUUAAGUCGACCGCCUGGGGAGUACGGCCGCAAGGUUAAAACUCAAAUGAAUUGACGGGGGCCCGCACAAGCGGUGGAGCAUGUGGUUUAAUUCGAUGCAACGCGAAGAACCUUACCUGGUCUUGACAUCCACGGAAGUUUUCAGAGAUGAGAAUGUGCCUUCGGGAACCGUGAGACAGGUGCUGCAUGGCUGUCGUCAGCUCGUGUUGUGAAAUGUUGGGUUAAGUCCCGCAACGAGCGCAACCCUUAUCCUUUGUUGCCAGCGGUCCGGCCGGGAACUCAAAGGAGACUGCCAGUGAUAAACUGGAGGAAGGUGGGGAUGACGUCAAGUCAUCAUGGCCCUUACGACCAGGGCUACACACGUGCUACAAUGGCGCAUACAAAGAGAAGCGACCUCGCGAGAGCAAGCGGACCUCAUAAAGUGCGUCGUAGUCCGGAUUGGAGUCUGCAACUCGACUCCAUGAAGUCGGAAUCGCUAGUAAUCGUGGAUCAGAGUGCCACGGUGAAUACGUUCCCGGGCCUUGUACACACCGCCCGUCACACCAUGGGAGUGGGUUGCAAAAGAAGUAGGUAGCUUAACCUUCGGGAGGGCGCUUACCACUUUGUGAUUCAUGACUGGGGUGAAGUCGUAACAAGGUA
rnacentral:rRNA from 1 species